AAGACCUAAAAACCCCUAGACCUAGGCGGAGGAGCCGCUGAAAAAGGAACUCCCCUCCCCUUUCAUCUUCUUCCGGGAACACAAAACAAAAAGAACCCUUCAGCCCUCUGGAUUUUUCGUCUCCAACCAUAACACACCCACAUCCCGUUUCCAUUUUGGUGCAAAUUAAAUAUUCUCCGUCCUCUCCUGUCCAUCAGCGCCCUCUCUCUUUCACUUGAGAGCAGCCGCUAGCCCAUUUCGCGUCUCCCUUUAGGCUCGCUGGUGAUGGAUCUGGCCGGAAGUCGGGCAACCACCAUGGCCGUCGGUCCAUGGAGUGAGAAGACGAAAUAGAGGGCACCUGGGAAGGAGACGUCGAAAACAGAGAAAGCAAAAACUCCCGUCUCCUUUCUGUCCUAAGCUCCAAUAAAAAACCAGUUUCUUUUACUAUUUUAACAUCCAAAACCAACUCACAAGACAACCAUAAAACAGAACACAUAAAAAAAAAAAAAAUUCUAUUUCGUCUUUCCAGUUUCGGAUUUUCGCUCUUCCAAAUGGAGUUUGUUUGAGUGGUUUGAGUUCACGACGAGUCCCGUUGUUGAGUUUUGUCGCGGUUUCGGCGGGUUUCUGAGGUCUGGAUCGGAGGUUCCGUUUGAGUUGCCGAUUUUCAGUUCUUUGGAGGCUUUGUAUUUAGUCGAAUACUGAAGAAAUUUGCAGCUACUUAAGGUGUGAUUGAUUUCCAACUUGUCAAUUUGGCCUUUAUUUGUUUUGGAUUCCUCGAAUGUCAAUUUUAACCCAAGUAGGUGCUGAGACAGGUACAUUUGGUGGUCAUCUUGGCAAUAGGCGCAGCUGCUGAGGAGACUUUGUGGUGAGCUGCAUUCCAUGUUAUGAUCCGCAGCACACGGAGUCCCCAUCUUAUUCAUUUAUUUUAUCAUGUCAAUUUUAUAUUCCGGAUAGAUGUUGUAGUAAUAUUGUACUUCUUAGUAUAUGCUCAUUCACUUGUGACAACGGGUUUUAGAAUAUUUCUAGUAGAUUAUUAUGGUUGUAAGUGAUAUUAUCAUCAUUUCGCUGCAUGCUUCAUUGA